GAUGAACGCUGGCGGCGUGCCUAAUACAUGCAAGUCGAGCGGACGGACGAGAAGCUUGCGGCUCUGAUGUUAGCGGCGGACGGGUGAGUAACACGUGUAUCACCUCCCUAUAUGACUGGGAUCACUUCGAGAAACCGUAGCUUAUCCCGUAUAAUAUUUUGAUCCGCAUGGUGCAAUAGUGAAAGACGGUCUUGCUGUCGCUUAUAGCUGCAUACGCGCUGUAUUAGCUGGUUGUUAAGGUAACGGCUUACCAAGGCAACGAUGCGUAGACGAACGGAGGGGGGGGUCGGCCACCUGAGAAGGGGACCGGGGUCAAGACUCCUACGGUAGGGACCAGUAGGCAAUCGGCGGCAAUGGGCGAAAACCUGACGGAGCAAGGCCGAGUGAGUGAUGAAGGUCUUCGGAGCGUAAAACUCUGUUACUAGGGAAGAACAGCUGUGUAAGUAGCUGUGCACAGAGUGACGGUACCGAAUCAGAAAGCACCGGCUAACUACGUG
rnacentral:rRNA from 1 species